GCCUAAAUAGCUCAGUCGGUAGAGCAAACGGCUGUUAACCGUUAGGUCACAGGUUCGAGCCCUGUUUUAGGCGCCA
rnacentral:tRNA from 5 species